AUUGAACGCUGGCGGUAUGCCUAACACAUGCAAGUCGAACGGCAACGCGGUAAUGGCUGCCUCUGACUGGUGGCGAGUUGCGGACGAGUUCGGAAUACGUCCGAAUCUACUUGUUAUUGAGGCGUAACGUAUGCUAAUAUACCCUACUACCUCAGGAUGCCUGCAGGGGACAGCAAGGGAUCUUCCGGCCUGACGCGACGGUGUGAGCCGAUGUCGGAUUAGCUAGUUGGCGGGAUAAAGGCCUACCAAGGCGACGAUCCGUAGCUGGUCUGAGAGGAUGAUCAGCCACACUGGAACUGAGACACGGCCCAGACUCCUACGGGAGGCAGCAGUGGGGAAUAUUGGACAAUGGGCGCAAGCCUGAUCCAGCCAUGCCGCGUGCGGGAAGAAGGCCUUCGGGUUGUAAACUGCUUUUGUACGGAACGAAAAGCCGUCUGUUAAUACAGGGGUGUCAUGACGGUACCGUAAGAAUAAGCACCGGCUAACUACGUG
rnacentral:rRNA from 1 species